UUUAAGUACAACCAUUAGUUUCCGUGCACAAUUUUGAUCGUCUGUCUUAUUUGAAAAUUUUUAUAAUUAAUAUUUUUGUUGUUAUGAGAUGAUAAAAUAAGAAUAUUAUUAAAAAAAUAAAUAAGAUGGACGAUCAAAGUUGGGCAUGGAAAAUCAUGGCUGCACUUAAA
rfam:Oryza glaberrima chromosome 6 Oglab06_0030_1, whole genome shotgun sequence.